rnacentral:rRNA from 1 species
AACGAACGCUGGCGGCAUGCCUAACACAUGCAAGUCGAACGAGACCUUCGGGUCUAGUGGCGCACGGGUGCGUAACGCGUGGGAACCUGCCCUUAGGUUCGGAAUAACUCCCCGAAAGGGGUGCUAAUACCGGAUAAUGUCUUCGGACCAAAGAUUUAUCGCCUUUGGAUGGGCCCGCGUUGGAUUAGCUAGUUGGUAGGGUAAAAGCCUACCAAGGCGACGAUCCAUAGCUGGUCUGAGAGGAUGAUCAGCCACACUGGGACUGAGACACGGCCCAGACUCCUCCGGAGGGCGCAAGUGGGGAAUAUUGAACAUUGGGCGAAGGCCUGUUCCGGCAAUGCCGGGUGAGUGAUGAAGGCCUUAGGGUGGUAAAGCUCUUUUACCCGGGAUGAUAAUGACAGUACCGGAGGAAUAAGCUCCGGCUAACUCCGU